GAUGGUUCAGAGCCAGGUAGCCCAGAUGGAUCUGAAAUCACAAGGAGACGAGGCUGCAUCGCCCUUCAGAACUAAAAAUCCAGCGUGAAUGAACAACAGGGGGAAUCACCACCACCUCCACAUAGCUGGACACAAGUUCCUCCACCUCAGCACUGAUGUUAAGGUGGGUCCUUCAGGGGUGUGUAUCAAGGGUAUCGGUGAAAGCAGGGAACCCAGAAGAAUGAGAAAAAAUGACAGAAUUUACUACUUCAUAUUCCCCCCCCUUAAAAGCAUUGAUGAAGUCGUCAUUGGGAAAAUCUGAAUAUUCUUACUUGUACUUCUUUUAUUUUAAAGGACAAGUAUGUGGAGUUCCCGUCGUGGCACAGUGGUUAAUGAAUCCAACUAGGAACCAUGACAUUGCAGUUUUAGAGUCAACCAUGAACAAAACACCAGGGACUGGAGGGGACAACCACAAACUCCAAGGACACUGCUGCCACCUGCUGUUCACACAUUCUCCAUCCAAGGGCUCCUCCCCAACGCCUGCCUUCCUGUUCCAGUGUCUCAAGGUCCCGGUCACCACUGGGAACAGACCCCCUUCUAUGGCCUGGGUAAGAGAAUUUCAACCUUUGCUCAAUUUCAAAUGCAGGAAAGGUUAGCCCUUAGCAGAAGGAGAGGGGCUCCAAUAAAAGAGUAGAGAGAUGCAGCCUGUGGGCCAGACCCUGCUUCUUUGAAUCUGUGACUUCAUCUAUAAAAUGAUGACAACCAUUAUAUCUGCUUCAUAGAAUAGCUUUUAAGAUAAAAUGAGGGUUUCCCCCCCUCUACAAUCUACCUUUCUUACCAGAAAAAAAAAAAAAAGUUAGCUAUGUAAAGGGCAAGCCAGGAUGGGGAAAAAUCAUGCCUCCCCAAAUGCCUAAAAUCAACCUCUGUUUACAUUAACAUUCUUAACAUUUAAAAAAAUUUCAUAAAGCAUUUCUCUUAUAUUUUGCUACUGAUGUUGAAUGUGUCAAAAUUUAAGUCUUGAAUCAUUUUCGGUACAUUUUAUUAUCUGAACCAGAAUGUGAAAUACUGCAAAGGGUAUAUGAUCUUUUUAAAAGAGAAUUGAAAGUGUCUCUCCCAUCUGAGACUGUCAGAGUAACUGCCAAGAUUCUGGUUCACAAGUUUCACGUCACUUCUUUCAGGCAUGGCAUCUAGCAAAUGGGCAAUGUGAAACUGAGAAAACUGGAGGGGGCUUUUUCCACUCAGGUUCCCUUGGGAACCAACACCAACAGCAAAACUAAGAGGCCUGGCUCCCUCCCAGCAGCUAUAAACAUCACACCAGAUUCUGUUUGCCUGAACAUUCCUUCUGACUGGAUCUAGAUGCUAGUAUUUGGGUACCAAUCAACUUUCAUGUGGCCAAUCCAAUAUUCCUUCCUAGAAUAUUGGCAAUUUGCAUUGCUGCCUUGAAAGUUCAGCAAAACUGAAACUCUCAAUGGGCAAGUUCCAGCAAGUACCUGUAAAUGAUUUCAGGGCUAUCCAUUGUACCACUACGGGCCUAGUUGUGGUGUGGAUUCCAGGGACAGGUCUGGCUGUUCUCAUCCUCUAAAAGGGAGAUUGGGUACCACCUUGUUCUCUCGCCUUCUUGGUGUGGACAGAAUGCUAUGUGAAGAUACUAUCUGCUGCCUGGAUUUUUCUUGUGAGACAUGAAUGUUUCACGUAUCUGGGAGAAGUGCACAGUGACCCAGUGGAGAGCCUAAUGGCACAGUGGUAAAGCCAGAGUGUGGGACAGCUGAGGGAAAAUGACUCAGGACCUCUGCACCAGAGCAAGGAGGCAUCUUUGAGAGGGAGACAAGUCAAAUGAAGGCCCUGAUGGAGACUUUGGGAGGGAGCACUAAGGCUCGACCUGGACUUAGAUUUUUGGUCCAUCAGUGAUGAAGGCAGCUGAGAAGGAAGCAUUUCAAACUGAGACCCACACCAUAGAAAUAAGAGGAACUCUUAAGAUGGCAUUUAGAUACAGCUCUUAGAAGCUGCUCAGUAACCACACAAUAAGUGGUUAACAACAGCAGCAUCUCCAGUGGCUCUGUGGCUCUGCGCCACAGUGCCUGGACUAGUCUACUGGGGCUUCUUCAACUGGGACCUGCAAACUCACCCUCAGGCAUCUGCGACUAGGUAAGGAAUGCUACACUGUAUCUUUUCACUUGAUGCCACUUUAAAAUAAGAUUCAUGUUUGCAGAUUCUGGUCAUCUGUGCAGCCCCUGAAUAGUAUAAAAUGAUUUUAGUGUCUACAUUGGCACUUUAGAUUAGAUUGGGGCCAAAUAAUGCUCUUUGAGUUGUCAGAACUAGAGGAAAAAAGAACAGAGAUAGAUUUAAUAUGUAAACAAGUAGAGACCAAAGGACAUCACAAAACAUUCUAUGAAGAUAACUUACCUAGUCGUUCAACCAAAAGACUAGUGGGUCUGCAGAGUUAUCACGCAGCCCAUGGGGGGCAGGCCUGCCAAAUACAGAACCCUGUCGUGAAAAGAUAUCCCAAAAAGGUAGGCAGUUUGUCUUUUCCAUUUUAUACCGGGAUGCAGGCCUGCCCCAGGAUGAUCUUUUGGUUUCAGGGCCCAUUUAUAUCUUAAAAAUUAUUGAGACUCCUAAGGAGCUUUUGUUGAUGUGGAUUGUAUCAAUCUAUAUUUAUGUAUUAGAAAUGAAUUUGAGAGAUUCAUUUACUAAUUCAUUUGAAAUGACAAAAGUAAACCCAUUAUAUAUUAACAUAGCUAACCUUUUUAAUGAAAAUAUGUUUUGCAAAGCACAACUUUAGUGAGAAGAGUAGCAUUAUUUUACAUUUUUGCAAACCCAUUUGAUGUCUGGUUUAUCAGAAGACGGCUAAAUUCUUAUGUCUGCUUAAGUAUUCAACCCACUUUGAAUAAUGUUUUGUUUUUGGUUUUUUGGUUUUGUUUUUUUUUUUUUUUUUG